UGGUUGGAGAUGUUUUUCUUUCAACUCCUCAAAUUAAGGAAAAAUUGGCCUUUACAUAAGAAAAAACAACUUCCACAAAAUAUUGAUACCAAGUUACCAUUGGGAUGCUCUUAUGGGUGUGCUAAUUUAUAAAUCUAGUCGCCUAACAAAACAGCGCAAAGAGCGCCGAAUAAUGCAGCGCCGAAACAUUUCGUCAUUUGAAACGGCGCUGGACCAGUUAACUUUGUUGAUUUCGCUGUUCCAAACAGCACUGAAGAAUUUUGACUGAAAGAGGCAGAGCCUCUCCUUCUCCACAGACAGAACAUUUUCUUUCUUAUUCAUUUUCUCAUCCAAAAAUGGUUGUAGGAUAGAUUUGUAAUCACCGUCAACACUUCCAGUGGAUUCGUUAAAAGGGUUUGUAAAUCAGGAGGAUUGUGAUCUUUUGAGCCUAUUUUCAAUCAAUUCCGUCCACAAUUGCGAUUGGGCUAACAAUUUCUAAUUUUAAGUUUUUAUUUUAUUUUUUAUUAUCAUGAUAUUUUGAUUAAAUUGAUGAUAGAUUUUGAUGUAUUAGAUGAUUUAUAUGAUAUGUGUAUGGAUUGUAUAAUUGAAAUUGAUUUUAGAAUUUUUAGGAUUUAAAUUUGAUUAUUUGUGAUGAGAACAUGAUGAAAUUUUGAUUUUGUGAUGAAAAUCAAUGAAUUUUGUAUGAUUAUUGUUGAUGAAACAUGUAUGAUUAUUUGAGAUGAAAAUAUGAAAUUUGUAUGAAUUUUUUUGAUAAAAAAUGAAAUUUGUAUGAAAUUUAAUUUUAUGAUGAGAAAUUGAUGAAAAUUUGAUUCUAUGAUGAAACUUGAAAAUUGAUUAUUUUAGAUGAAAGUAUGUAGAAAUUUGUAUGGUUUUUUUGGAUGAAAAUUUGAAAUUUGUAUGAAAUCUAGUUUGUGAUUGAAUUUUUUUUUUCAUUUGCUAGUACGGACACGGAAAUGAACAUGGACGCUUUUGUUGACACAUUUGAUAUAGUAUCGUCUAGAAACACUGAGGGACAUGUAUGUACGCAAGUUCCGGGUGAUCCCAGAUAAAUAUCCUUUAGAAGUAGCUUGAAAGACGUCGAAUACUAUUAUAAAAUAGUAGUGAAAGAUAAUCCGAAAGCUGAACGUUACUGUCGAAAAUGUGGGUUUUCUUCUGUGUUUGAGUUUGAUUUCUCCAAUGGGGAUAGAGGCUUAGUGGAAGCCAUAGCUGAGAAAUGGUUUGAGAAAACCAAGAGCUUUAGGAUCAUAGGGUUUGAGAUUGGCCUCCUUCCUUUAGAUUAGUACAUUCUAACGGGCAUGUCUACUGGUGACCCUAGCAAACAUCGAGUACUUCUGCCUAAGUUACAUGUCAGCAUAAAAUAUCCGGCUACGGAUGCUAUGUAUUUCCCACUUAUCUCUACACAACCUAGAUGGAACUCUGCGAACAAUUCAAUAUCCUUGGUUAUCUUGAAAGACUUCAUUCAAAGUAGACAAAACCAUGACAAUAGGGGAUGUGAAGCUCAAUUGACACAAGUUUUCUUUCUUUGGUGGUUUGGACAUUUCCUUCUUGCGGAUAGUAGUGGAAGAAUAUAUAAACGCUGGAUUCUAUUGUUGCAAGAUUUAGAAUCAGUUGGGAAAUAUGACUGGGGUUUAGCUUCCUUAGGUAAUACCUAUAUAAAUUGCUUGGCGACUGGUCAUGUAGAGGUAGUAAGGAUUUAUCCGGCAUGGUUAUGAUCAUUGAGUACUGGUAUUAUUACUAUUUUCGCAACAUGCAACCCUUGCUUUGUCCGGCACAGGCAGGAGGACAUCUAGAUAUUUUUCAAAGAUUUGUCUUUUAAAGAAGGAAAACAUUCAACAAUCAAGGAAGAGAGGACAUAGAGGCAGCCAGAAGGAUAAUAUAGGAAACACUCAGCAUCCAACGCAAGAGCACAGAUUGAGAGUAGAACAAGUUUAUCAUGUAUUUGGCAAACAUGGAGAGACAGUGCGUAUGCAGAUGGAGAGGAUUAUGACCAUGCACUAGAGUUGUCUAAAAUGAGAGUUAUGUUUUUCCACAUACUAGAUGAUUACAAAAGAUCUAGUUGUUACUUAGCUGAGAGGUUCCAGAGACAGAUAGUAGGUGAGAUUGUAAUACCAGUGAAUCCGCCAGAAUUGUAAUCAGUAAGGGACAAAGAGAUUGCAGGUGUAGGAGAUCAUUAUUAUGUAGUCGAUGAGAGUCGGUACCAAAGGUGGUGGAAGAAGAAGAGUGUUGGACUUACUUGAAUCAGUCGUACCAUGCAUAGAACGUCGAUGAGAUAGCAGUGUGUAGUUCAGCUGUUUCUCGCCAUCUGUUUCCUCACCAUCUGCCUCCACAUCUAAUGUCACAAAGCUAUACUUAUGAGAAUGAGACCUUUUCACAUCUUCCUCAGAUAGACUUCACUAUACCGUUUUCCGAUGAAAUCGGCGUAGAGGAUCAUGUUGAAGUUCCAAGGAAGCCUUGUCCGUAUGAUUUAAGAAUAUAGGGUUGAAAAUGGAGGAUUUCUUUAACUUUAUGGAACAACAAUAUUCAUACUAUCAAGGAAUUCGUGAAACCAUAUGGGUAGAGACGUUGCAUCGAGCUACAACCGAUUGUUCCUCAUCUAGAAGAUAUUCUUCUUCUUCAAUACCAGCUACCCACUCCCAACAACCAAAUGUUCAAGAAGAUCUCACUUGGGUGGUACAUUUUCACAAUGGGUACAAACUCAAGAAUGUUACCGUCUGCGAAGAUGAUCAUCUUCAUCAAAUAGUCAACAACAAGGAAUCGUGAGCAAUGAAUUUAGCCAAGCGUUGUUGGAUGAUAAUGUUUCUGAUGAUGUUCCUGAUACUCAAAACAACCUUCCACCCCGUAGUUACCAUCAUGAUUACUUCCAAUGACUGAAACAAGAAACUAUUUUUUUUAUUUAUUUUUAAGUGCUUAUGGAAUGAUUUUUAUUUGUGGAAUGUUAAUUUUUAGUGUUUAUUUU